AGCAGCGGGAUUUUAAUAGCGCUUUGUUAUUGUCCAUUACGGCAGAGUCGGAGGGGAGGAGGGAGGAGAGAGGAUGGAAUUGGGACGGAAAUAACGUAGCUGUGCUGCAGUAAUCCCAUCGCGACGUUGUGCAUCGUCGUGUUAUUCUCGAAGAAUGUCUACUAAUACUAAGAGAAAGAGUUUGUCGCCAUGGGUAGAGUGUGUCAAGUGUAAAUGCGCUCUGGCCCAAAAAGAUGUUUCCCUGCACAAAGCAAGCUGCCCACCAGCUAUAGAAAAUUGGGAUCACCCUUUUGUCCUCAAUGGAGUUUUGUACAGCACAAUAGAAGUCUUUCAAAAACAAGAAUUACCUACACGCAUUUCUGAGAGGGAUGCUAAUGAUAUGGUAUUUGUGUCACAGUCCACUAUGCAGUUAUGCGAGAUUGCGCUUGGAUCGCCGGCUGUCAUCACGACAAAAGACGAGGUGGUUGUCAAAACGGCCUGGCCGACAAACGACAAAAGUCUGACAAGUGUCACUUUAACAAAAUAUGCUAUUGAACUAAACAAUCUGUCAGGGUUAGUCAAAGUAUGUUCCUUGCCAUCUGAUACCCAGAUUGCAAAGGAAAUUGUAGUUAGUCAGCAAGGCAAACGUUUAAUAUCUGAAAUAAGCGUGGAAUUGGACAACAUCUUAAAAUAUUUUAAUGAGCACAAGAUUUUCACUGUUGGCAAUAGGAUAAGCAUACCAUAUUAUGGCAAGAAAUUGGUGUAUAAAAUUGUUGAAAUCAAGAUGGAAGAAAACCAGAGGAAUCAUACCAAAAUGAUGGAUGUAAACGAUCUAUCAAAAGAUUUGGAAGAUAUAAAUCUAACAACUUCUUCCACAAAAGUGAACUUUUAUAAAGCACUGUAUACAACGAAAUGGACAAUCUUAAAUAUUACGAACAAAAGUAAAGAGAACGUUCCAAGAAGACAGUAUAAGGUCGAUGAUAUCGGCGGAUACAAUGAUCUCAUAACCGACAUAAGAGACAUAGUUGCAAUAGGCAUUGGCAAGUACAGGAGCAUCGAGCACUUCAACGUCAGCAAAGGGAUAUUAUUGUACGGUCCUUCUGGCGUUGGUAAAUCGAUGAUAGCGAACGCCGUAAUCUCGGAAUGUAACGUCGAGAGGUUUACCAUGUACAGUUCGGACAUUUACAGCAAGUCCGUCGGUGAAACGGAAGGCAAGCUCAAAGAGGUGUUCACCAAAGCGAUAUCGAGCGCCCCGAGUAUAAUACUGUUGGAGGACGUGGACAGCUUGUGCCCUAGGAGAACCAGUUCCAGCACGGAUCACGAGAAGAGAGUGUUGACUCAGCUAGUAACACUUUUCGACGAUCUGCAAGGCAUCAGCAGUAAUGUGCUGGUAGUCGCCACCACCGCAAAGCCGGAUCUCGUGGACGGUUCUCUGAGGAGACCCGGCAGACUGGACAUGGAGUUCGAGAUCUACGUACCGACCCCGAACAUACGUAUCGAGAUAUUGGCGAAGUUGCUCUCAAAGAUUCCCAAUACACUUACGGACGAGGACGUGGAGGGUAUCUCGUUCGUUACUCACGGCUUCGUUGGCGCGGAUCUGUACGGUUUAUGCUCCAGAGCGAUAAUGAACGCAGUGAAACGUCACCAGAAGGACAGAAUCCCAUCCGACAAGGAACCGAAGGUGACGAUAACCGACUUUCAUUAUGCCUUGACCGUGACAAAGCCGUCGGCCAUGAAAGAAGUUUUAGUAGAAGUACCGAAUGUGAGAUGGUCAGACAUAGGCGGGCAAAGAGACCUCAAGCUGAAAUUAAAACAAGCCGUCGAGUGGCCGCUGACGCAUCCCGAUUCGUUCCUGAGAUUGGGCAUUACGCCUCCUAGGGGCGUCUUGAUGUUUGGACCACCGGGAUGCUCGAAAACUAUGAUCGCGAAAGCUCUCGCCACCGAGAGUAAAGUCAAUUUUCUGAAUAUCAGAGGCCCGGAGCUGUUUUCGAAAUGGGUGGGCGAAUCUGAGAAGGCCGUGAGAGAAGUAUUUCGAAAAGCGAGACAGGUCGCGCCGUCCAUCAUAUUCAUCGAUGAGAUAGACGCACUCGGUGGUGAAAGAGGCUCGUCUUCCGGUGGUAGCGGCAGCAACGUGCAGGAACGAGUGUUAGCUCAGUUACUGACGGAACUCGAUGGUAUCACCGCUCUGGGUAGCGUCACACUCGUAGCGGCUACUAAUCGCCCGGACAAAAUUGACAAAGCACUCCUCCGACCUGGACGAUUAGAUCGAAUUAUAUACGUGGGGCUGCCGGACAAGGAGACCAGACAAGAGAUAUUCGACAUAAAAUUGCGAAAUAUGCCGGUCGCGAAGGACAUAAAUAUCGCGGAUCUGAUCAGCCGAACGGAAGGCUACACCGGCGCGGAAAUUCAAGCGGUAUGCCAUGAGGCUGCCAUGAAAGCGUUGGAGGAGGACCUUGAUGCCGCUGUCGUUACCAAAGAUCAUUUCAUCGCCGCAUUUAGAGUUAUCGCUCCUAGAACGCCCAAGUCCCUCAUCGAAAUUUACGAGGACUACAUGAAUAAUAAAGUUUUAUGAGAAUUACAUAAGAAUACGUAUAAGUGUGUUUUCCAUUGCGAGAACAGGCAUCGAGUAAUCCUUGAGAUAUUAAAUCUUUUUGUGAUUAUCUCCCUGAUCUUUUUUUAGUAGCAAAGAAACGAGGAGGAACGAGUCUGACGAGUAUGUAUUUAUAAAUUCUCUCGAAAACAAAAUAAUUGAUUAAAAUUUAACAUUUAAGAUGUUUACGAAAUAUCGACUUAUACUUGACUGCAGGGACUGAACAGAAUAAAAUCGAGAACAAGAUCGGUCAAAUUAUGAUCGCAGAAUUUUUUUUUAAUUUGUUGAUCGAUCAAUCUGCGAAAACGUGAACAACUUUACUCUGUUAAAAGUUAUAUAUUAGCGCAUAAUGCAACCGAUCAAAUCAAUAAAUUAGGAAACUCGCUUAAUACAUUCAAAACAUUGUAUAAUAAGCUACUGAUGACGUGGACUCGGACGCGGUUCUCCGUCUACGGCCCAGUUACGGUAGCCGAUAGUAAUAAUAAUAACGACGAGUUUUAUUAUGACAAAUAAAUGGAAAUAUAUGUCAAGGGCGGUCCUCUUCCAAUCCUCUCGCCAUGCGGGAGGAUUAACCCGUUUCUUUCCGUGACGUUGGCCGCGCGAUCGCGGGCGGGACGGCGAUAGUGCAAUACGAUUUAACUGGGCGCGAUAAUCGAAGAAAGUUACCUCUCGAGUUUCGCGCACGCAAGAGAGACAGAGAGAGAGACGAUUGCGUUAAUUAUUAACCAGCUCAGUCGUUAUUGCGUCCCGCGUUACACGUUGACGGAACGGAAGAGAGCUAUGCGCUUGACGAGGAAGCUGCACGUUCGUCGGUAAAAAGCAGGAAGGCACAAGGCAAUCGCCGAUAACGCGAACGGGUUCCAUCAGUGACGACGUUCUUAGGAUCGUCGAUUUGUGCCAUGAGACGUCGCUCUUCGGCGCCGAGGAAGGAGAGCAGCGUUCAUCUCACAAGAUUACCGUGUUGACAAAUUUCCCUUCGAACGGGAUAACCUCGCACGAAGGAGUACGAUUCUUACUUUGCAGCCUUAGCUCUAUCCACCACGUACGCUUAUUUCGUUUCUUGCCCUUCCUGAUUGCGUUUGACAAUUAGCGAACGUCAUUGCGGAACGUCGUUGUGAAAUGUGUAAAAAAAAAAAAA
rnacentral:misc_RNA from 1 species